AGAACGAACGCUGGCGGCAGGCCUAACACAUGCAAGUCGAACGGAUGUAGCAAUACAUUAGUGGCGCACGGGUGAGUAACGCGUGGGAACGUGCCUUUCAGUACGGAAUAACGUCGGGAAACUGACGCUAAUACCGUAUAUUCCCGAGAGGGGAAAGAUUUAUCGCUGAAAGAUCGGCCCGCGUCAGAUUAGCUAGUUGGUGAGGUAAUGGCUCACCAAGGCUCCGAUCUGUAGCUGUUCUGAGAGGAAGAUCAGCCACACUGGAACUGAGAUACGGUCCAGACUCCUACGGGAGGCAGCAGUGGGGAAUAUUGGACAAUGGGCGAAAGCCUGAUCCAGCCAUGCCGCGUGAAUGAUGAAGGCCUUAGGGUUGUAAAGUUCUUUUGCCGGGGACGAUGAUGACGGUACCCGGAGAAUAAGACACGGCUAACUUCGUGCCAGCAGCCGCGGUAAUACGAAGGUGUCUAGCGUUGUUCGGAAUUACUGGGCGUAAAGCGCGCGUAGGCGGCGCAUUAAGUCAGAGGUGAAAGCCUGGAGCUCAACUCCAGAACUGCCUUUGAAACUGGUGCGCUAGAGUGCAAAAGAGGGUAGUGGAAUUCCGAAUGUAGCGGUGAAAUGCGUAGAUAUUCGGAGGAACACCAGUGGCGAAGGCGACUACCUGGUUUGCAACUGACGCUCUGGCGCGAAAGCGUGGGGAUCAAACAGGAUUAGAUACCCUGGUAGUCCACGCUGUAAACGAUGAGUGCUAGCUGUUGGGGGGUUACCACUCAGUGGCGAAGUUAACGCAUGAAGCACUCCGCCUGGGGAGUACGGCCGCAAGGUUAAAACUCAAAGGAAUUGACGGGGACCCGCACAAGCGGUGGAGCAUGUGGUUUAAUUCGAGGCAACGCGAAGAACCUUACCAGGCCUUGACAUGGGUAGUUUGGGGUAGAGAAAUUUACUCCUUCAGUUCGGCUGGCUACCACACAGGUGCUGCAUGGCUGUCGUCAGCUCGUGUCGUGAGAUGUUGGGUUAAGUCCCGCAACGAGCGCAACCCUCACCCUCUGUUGCUAACAGGUAAUGCUGAGAACUCUGAGGGAACUGCCGGUAAUAAGCCGGAGGAAGGCGGGGAUGACGUCAAGUCAUCAUGGCCCUUACGGCCUGGGCUACACACGUGCUACAAUGGUGGUGACAAUGGGCUGCUACCUCGCGAGAGGAUGCGAAUCUCAAAAAGCCACCUCAGUUCAGAUUGUACUCUGCAACUCGAGUACAUGAAGUUGGAAUCGCUAGUAAUCGCGCAUCAGCAUGGCGCGGUGAAUACGUUCCCGGGUCUUGUACAC
rnacentral:rRNA from 1 species